rnacentral:lncRNA from 1 species
UCAUCAGGAGGAGGAGGAGCAGGAGCUGGAGGAAGAAAUGGAAGAGGUACAUGACAUUGGCUAUCAAAGGUACCUGCACCUCUUAUCCACAUUAACAUAUUCACUAAUUUGUUUAUUUGUUUAAUUACACCUAAUAAUUAAUGCAAACUUUUAAACUUUUAAACUUUUUUUAACCAUAUAUUAGGUAUAUAUAAUCAUAAUCAUAUAAAACUAUUUAUUUUGGAUAGUUAUUUAAUUUAAAUAUGAUUCGUUACAUGUACAUAGUAUUAGAGUUGCAAUACUCUAAUCCUUUUAAACAUUAAUUUGAUGGAUAUGUAUAAAUGUAUAAUGUGGACUAUUAUUGUAUUAAAAUAAAUGAAAUUUAGCUAUAUAUUGUGUAAACUAUAAAUCCAACACAGAGAGACAUUGAGACAAUGCUAGCAGACAAGAAAUAGAGAGAGAAUGGUGAUAAAUACAAAGGUAGAUGAGUCGAUGAAGACGAGAAACUCAAAUUUAUUUAUUUAUUUAUUUAUUUAUUUAUUCCUUGGUUUUAUCUGUUUACGUGGAUUAUAUCUUUGCAUUAAUAAUUUUAAGGUUUAAUUACUCUGUUGGUCUCUAUAAUUUUGUAAAAUUUUCAAUUAGGUUUCUAUAUUUUUUUUUUCUUUUUAAUUGGAUCCCUGCACUAUUUUUUUUUUUCAAUUAAGUCCCUCUUAGUAAUAAUUAGCUUAAUUUUAUAGGGAUCCAACUAAAAAAAAGAAUUGGUAUAGAGACUUAAAUAAAAGGAAAAAGAAAAAAAAAGUGUAAAGACCCAAUUAAAAAAAAUUUUGAUGCAAGAACUCAAUUAAAAGGAAAAAAAGUAUAGAGACUUAAUUGAAAAUUUCAUGAAACUAUAGGAACCAACAGAGUAAUUAAACCUAAUUUUAAUAUAGUGAAUCUUAUAUAAAACGAUUUAAAAGUGAUAUUUAUUUGAUAGAUUUUAUAAAUGCUAAACAAUUCUCUUCACUAUUAUUCAUAACAAAAAUUAUCAAACUAGACAUGUUAGUGAAAUUUCUUUUCUUUUUUCAACUAUAUAAUUGUUUUAAGUGGAAACUUAGGUGCAGUUAACUUCUUGUAAAGUUGAUAGUUGAAAAUCAUUAAAUAAUUUGAGAGAUUUGACUAAAUUGUUAUAUGACUUUCAGUUAUCAAUUUCACACUGCACCCGAGUUUUUACCUUUGUUUUAUUAAAAGGAAUUAAAUUAAUUAAUUAAUUAAGAAAAUGACUCACAAUUAGGAAUAACACAAGGAGAUGAGAAAGGACCAAGUUGAAUCUUCGACCAACCAUGCUUACAAUCGCAUUCGAAACCUGCCCAUGUUUCAUGGCAUGUUCCCAUCCCACAAAAUGCUGUUUUGCAUUCAUCUGCACGCAACCACCAAAAGAAAUUACAACAAUUAUGUUUUAUUUAUACUAAAAUUAGUUAUUAAUUACUCACAUCUAUAAAAUAAUUAGAAUAUAAAACAUUAUAUUAAUUUUUGGUGUAAAAUAUGAUAGAAACUCAAGUGCAUGGUGUAAAAUAUGAUCGAAAUUCAGGUGCAGUUAACUUCAUGUGAAGUUGAUAGUUGAGAGUUAUUAAAUGAUUUGACAGGUUUGACUAAAUUAUUAUCUAACGACUCUCAGUUAUCAACUUCACAUGAAGAUAUCUGCAUGUGAAUUUUCACCAAAUACUAUAUAUAUAUAUAUGUUAUAAUAUUAAGUGUAUGUAUACCUUCCGAAGUAGAAGAAUGGUUGCAAGUGAAGAGAGUU